GAUUCAUACCUUACCAUUAACAGUGCAAGAAAAGGUGAAAGAGGAUUGUGCUCUUCUGGCACCAUCAGGUAACCGUGGUUUUGGGUUCUUCCCAUGUCCAAUCUGAAAUGGAACAGCAGCCAUGGAAAAACACGGCACUCUGCUGGCAGAGAGCAAUGAAUGAUGUUCUUUACCUCAAGAAAACUGUACCCCACAGGCUGGGAAAAAGCCAAGCCAGGAAUCUGCUCUUCAGCUGAGCUAUUUUACAGGCCAAACCACCAGUUAUGGCUCAUGUUCACCCACAGAGUGUUGAACAAGGCUGUGCUUGCACUACACAGCAAUUCUAGAAAGUGAAGAGCAACAAUCCAGGCUGAGGAUCCAGUGUAUUGCAAGCACCUUCCCCUUAAACAGCCAUUGCAGAGGAAGAAGAAACAGAAGAGGGAGCAGAAGGCAAUGACAGAAGGGAACAGAUUGUCACAAUGACCCAUCUCCAGAGGAAACCUUCUGCUGCCCCCAGGAACCUAACUGCUGGAAUAGAGGGAAGGUCAUAAAAACCAACCAGCAAGCCACCCAAACCCAAUUGCAUUGAGCAGCUCAUUCCUGGAGACUAAGGAUGGAUGCAGCUCCACAGAGUAGAAAAGACUCAGCACAUCAACUGAACUUUCUUUUUGGUACAAUAAAAGAAUUAAAUGCAAUGUGCAAAUAAUUCAAGAGUUUAUUGGCAGGGUGGAGAAAGAGCUUCUACAUUCCAGGAGUGUUUUAUUACUGCCUGCUUUUGAAUUGCAAAGCAGUGAGCUCAAGGGUUUUUAGAGUAAGACCAUUGUAAGAGGCAUUUUUGUUAUCCAAUGCCUCAGAGGAACAGAGGAGACUCCUGAAACAUCUCUGUAACUGCAUUGUAGGAAGCUGCUGCUGCAAGCAGGCACACAGCUGCUUAGAGGCCAUCAGAAAUAGAAUUAACAUCUCCCUGUGUCUUGAGACACACAGAGCUCAUAGCUGGGUACCCCAAAGCUGUGUUGGCAUUCUGCAACUUUUAGUUGAUGAAGACAUGCAACUAAAACUUCUGCAAGUACAAGGUGUGCAAUCAUACUUUCCCUUAGUAAACAUUUCUGAAAUGAAUGUUUGAUCUUAGGGAGUGCAAAAUCCUGUUCCUGA